GAUGAACGCUGACAGAAUGCUUAACACAUGCAAGUCGACUCGAGUCUUCGGACUUGGGUGGCGCACGGGUGAGUAACGCGUAAAGAACUUGCCUCUUAGACCGGGACAACAUUUGGAAACGGAUGCUAAUACCGGAUAUUAUGGUUUCUUCGCAUGGGGGAAUCAUGAAAGCUACAUGCGCUAAGAGAGAGCUUUGCGACCCAUUAGCUCGUUGGUGAGGUAACGGCUCACCUAGGCGACGAUCCCUAGCUGGUCUGAGAGGAUGACCAGCCACACUGGAACUGAGACACGGCCCAG
rnacentral:rRNA from 1 species